rnacentral:rRNA from 1 species
ACGGGUGCGUAACACGUGAGUAAUCUGCUGAGAAGUGGGGGAUAGCUCGCCGAAAGGCGAAUUAAUACCGCAUGUGACUAGUGAGGACAUCCUCAUGACGUUAAAGCCGCAAGGCGCUUCUUGAUGAACUCGCGGCCUAUCAGCUAGUUGGUGAGGUAACGGCUCACCAAGGCGAUGACGGGUAGCUGGUCUGAGAGGACGACCAGCCACACUGGAACUGAGACACGGUCCAGACACCUACGGGUGGCAGCAGUCGAGAAUUUUUCACAAUGGGGGAAACCCUGAUGGAGCGACGCCGCGUGGAGGAUGAAGGCCCUUGGGUCGUAAACUCCUGUCAUAAGGGAACAAGAAAGUGAUAGUACCUUAAGAGGAAGAGACGGCUAACUCUGUGCCAGCAGCCGCGGUAAUACAGAGGUCUCAAGCGUUGUUCGGAUUCAUUGGGCGUAAAGGGUGCGCAGGCUGUGUGGUAAGUCAGAUGUGAAAUUUAGAGGCUCAACCUCUAAACUGCAUUUGAUACUGCCAUGCUGGAGGACUGUAGAGGAGAUUGGAAUUCACGGGGUAGCACGUGAAGUGCU